UGCAGUCGAACGAGCUUCCGUUGAAUGACGUGCUUGCACUGAUUUCAACAAUGAAGCGAGUGGCGAACUAGGUGAGUAACACGUGGGGAAUCUGCCCAGAAGCAGGGGAUAACACUUGGAAACAGGUGCUAAUACCGUAUAACAACAAAAUCCGCAUGGAUUUUGUUUGAAAGGUGGCUUCGGCUAUCACUUCUGGAUGAUCCCGCGGCGUAUUAGUUAGUUGGUGAGGUAAAGGCCCACCAAGACGAUGAUACGUAGCCGACCUGAGAGGGUAAUCGGCCACAUUGGGACUGAGACACGGCCCAAACUCCUACGGGAGGCAGCAGUAGGGAAUCUUCCACAAUGGACGAAAGUCUGAUGGAGCAAUGCCGCGUGAGUGAAGAAGGGUUUCGGCUCGUAAAACUCUGUUGUUAAAGAAGAACACCUUUGAGAGUAACUGUUCAAGGGUUGACGGUAUUUAACCAGAAAGCCACGGCUAACUACGUGCCAGCAGCCGCGGUAAUACGUAGGUGGCAAGCGUUGUCCGGAUUUAUUGGGCGUAAAGCGAGCGCAGGCGGUUUUUUAAGUCUGAUGUGAAAGCCUUCGGCUUAACCGGAGAAGUGCAUCGGAAACUGAGAGACUUGAGUGCAGAAGAGGACAGUGGAACUCCAUGUGUAGCGGUGGAAUGCGUAGAUAUAUGGAAGAACACCAGUGGCGAACGCGGCUGUCUAGUCUGUAACUGACGCUGAGGCUCGAAAGCAUGGGUAGCGAACAGGAUUAGAUACCCUGGUAGUCCAUGCCGUAACGAUGAGUGCUAAGUGUUGAGGGUUUCCGCCCUUCAGUGCUGCAGCUAACGCAUUAAGCACUC
rnacentral:rRNA from 2 species